GAUGAACGCUAGCGGCAGGCUUAACACAUGCAAGUCGAGGGGCAGCGCGGGAUAGCAAUAUCCUGGCGGCGACCGGCGGAAGGGUGCGUAACGCGUGUGCGACAUGCCCGUUGCCCGGGGACAACCGGUGGAAACGCCGACUAAUCCCCGAUGGGAUAUUGUGCCGCAUGGGCCGAUGUUGAAAGUUACGGCGGGGUCGGGUUGGCUCGCGUCCGAUUAGCCUGUUGGCGGGGUAACGGCCCCCCAAGGCUGCGAUCGGUAGGGGUUCUGAGAGGAAGGCCCCCCGCAAUGGGACUGAGACACGUCCCAUACGCCUACGGGAGGCAGCAGUGAGGAAUAUUGGUCAAGGGGCGGAAGCCAGAACCAGCCAGGCCGCGUGCGGGAAGGAGGCCGUAGGGGCUGUGAACCGCUUUUGCGUGGGGGCAAUAAGGGCGUCGCGCACGUCCGAUGAGAGUACCAGGCGAAUAAGCAUCGGCUAACUCCGUG
rnacentral:rRNA from 1 species